GAUGAACGCUGACAGAAUGCUUAACACAUGCAAGUCAACUGUGGCGGACGGGUGAGUAACGCGUAAAGAACUUGCCUCACGGAUAGGGACAACAUUUGGAAACGAAUGCUAAUACCUGAUACUGUGAGAGAGCUUUGCGUCCCAUUAGCUAGUUGGAGAGGUAACGGCUCACCAAGGCGAUGAUGGGUAGCCGGCCUGAGAGGGUGAUCGGAGACAAGGGGACGGGGAGACGGCCCUUACUCCUACGGGAGGCAGCAGUGGGGAAUAUUGGACAAUGGGCCAAAGUGUGAUCCAGCAAUUCUGGGUGCACGAUGAAGUUUUCGGAAUGUAAAGUGCUUUCAGUUGGGAAGCGGUACCAACAGAAGAAGUGACGGCUAAAUCCGUGCCAGCAGCCGCGGUAAUAC
rnacentral:rRNA from 1 species